rnacentral:rRNA from 1 species
ACCGGCAGCCAUAUCACCCUGUAGCCCAAGCCUGGUUGCCCACUGAAGCUAAGCAGGGCUGAGCCUGGUCAGUACCUGGAUGGGAGACCUCCUGGGAAAACUAGGUUGCUGCUGGAA